rnacentral:rRNA from 1 species
CCUGGUUGAUCCUGCCAGUAGUCAUAUGCUUGUCUCAAAGAUUAAGCCAUGCAUUGUCUCAGUACUUGCUUUAACAAGGCGAAACCGCGAAUGGCUCAUUAAAUCAGUUAUGGUUCACUAGAUCGUAUGAAUUACAUGGAUAACUGUGGUAAUUCUAGAGCUAAUACAUGCAACCAGCUCGGCUGCCUUGUGCAGCGAGCGCAGUUAUUAGAACAAAACCAAUCCGGCUUUGGUCGGUUGAUUGGUGACUCUGAAUAACCGAAGCAGAGCGCUAAGGUCUCGUACCGGCGCCAGAUCUUUCAAGUGUCUGACUUAUCAGCUUGUUGCGAGGUUAUGUUCCUCGCAAGGCGUUGACGGGUGACGGGGAAUCAGGGUCCGAUUCCGGAGAGGGAGCCUGAGAAACGGCUACCACAUCCAAGGAAGGCAGCAGGCGCGCAAAUUACCCACUCCCGGCACGGGGAGGUAGUGACGAAAAAUAACGAUGCGAGAGUUUUUAGCUUUUCGUAAUCGGAAUGGGUACACUUUAAAUCCUUUAACGAGGAUCUAUUGGAGGGCAAGUCUGGUGCCAGCAGCCGCGGUAAUUCCAGCUCCAAUAGCGUAUAUUAAAGUUGCUGCGGUUAAAAAGCUCGUAGUUGGAUCCGGGCAGUCGACGCGCGGUGCGCCUUACGGCGUUACUGCGUGCUCGUCGCCACUAUCCGGCCUUGUCUUUCAUGUUCUUUACUGAGCGUGAUUGGCGACCGGGACGUUUACUUUGAAAAAAUUAGAGUGCUUAAAGCAGGCAUAUGGCCUUGCAUAAUGGUGCAUGGAAUAAUGGAAUAGGACCUCGGUUCUAUUUUGUUGGUUUUCGGAGCUCGAGGUAAUGAUUAAGAGGAACAGACGGGGACAUUCGUAUUGCGGCGUUAGAGGUGAAAUUCUUGGAUCGUCGCAAGACGAACUACUGCGAAAGCAUUUGUCAAGAAUGUUUUCAUUAAUCAAGAACGAAAGUUAGAGGUUCGAAGGCGAUCAGAUACCGCCCUAGUUCUAACCAUAAACGAUGCCAACCAGCGAUCCGUCGGUGUUCAUACAAUGACUCGACGGGCAGCUUCCGGGAAACCAAAGUGCUUAGGUUCCGGGGGAAGUAUGGUUGCAAAGCUGAAACUUAAAGGAAUUGACGGAAGGGCACCACCAGGAGUGGAGCCUGCGGCUUAAUUUGACUCAACACGGGAAAACUUACCCGGCCCGGACACUGUAAGGAUUGACAGAUUGAGAGCUCUUUCUUGAUUCGGUGGUUGGUGGUGCAUGGCCGUUCUUAGUUGGUGGAGCGAUUCGUCUGGUUAAUUCCGAUAACGAACGAGACUCUAGCCUGCUAAAUAGCCAACUGAUCCGCAGCGUCGGUUGCUAUUCGCUUCUUAGAGGGACAGGCGACG